GAGCAGUAAGAACAUUGAGUGAAGGAGGAGAGAGGAAUCCAGAGGCAAUCCCUGCAGCCCAGAGAGGUAGCUAUGUAAGUCCAGAAGAGGAGGGCACAUGACAGGCAAGGAUGUGGAGAACCUCCCAUGCUGCAGAAGAAGCAUUGUGCUGGGGAGAGCCUGGCAGUUUAGCAGUUAAGCACAGAGUUACCAUGGCUCAGAAGUUCCUGUGCUGGGGUAAGUCGCUUUCUCCAGCACACGACGGUCCCACCAUGAUGUGGUCUUCAGAAUCCAGGAGAGUGGGGACUCAUCAAUUAGAACCACGAACCCAAAUUCACGUUUCUCUUUACAAGUUAAUUGCCUCAGGUGUUUUAUUAUCACGACAAGGAGCAGACUAGCACACAGAACAUAACACAAUGCAUUGAUUUACACAUUUUAAGUAGCAGUUUUUCUGGUAUCGGAACCUUGUCCCAGCGAUGGUCCCGUUAGCAAAGAAGACAUCCAUGGGACCAGCCCUCAUCCAUCCUUCCUAACAUGGUGGGGAGCAGCUGACACAGCCCUGCCCUGUGAGUGAGACUCUUUGCCUUUCCUCUCCUUAUAUUUCAUUUUCUCACCAAUAAACCUCAGGAAUACUUAA